AGAGUAAUAGCUCAGUGGUAGAGUGUGUGCUUAGCAUGCAUAGGUCCUGGGUUCAAUCCCCAGUACCUCUG
rnacentral:tRNA from 1 species